rnacentral:rRNA from 1 species
UCGCGAAAACUUUGCAAUAAGCGAAAGCUUGACAGGGCUAUCCCGAGUGCCAUCCGCUGAGGAAGGCUUUUACCCAGUCUAGAACGCUGGGGGAAUAAGGAGAGGGCAAGUCUGGUGU